rnacentral:rRNA from 1 species
GAUGAACCCAGGUGGGAUUAGCUAGUUGGUGAGGUAAUGGCUCACCAAGGCGACGAUCCCUAGCUGGUCUGAGAGGAUGAUCAGCCACACUGGAACUGAGACACGGUCCAGACUCCUACGGGAGGCAGCAGUGGGGAAUAUUGCACAAUGGGGGAAAUCCUGAUGCAGCCAUGCCGCGUGUGUGAAGAAGGCCUUCGGGUUGUAAAGCACUUUCAGCGAGGAGGAAAGGUUGGUAGCUAAUAACUGCCAGCUGUGACGUUACUCGCAGAAGAAGCACCGGCUAACUCCGUGCCAGCCGCCGCGGUAACAC